CUCAACCGUCAACAGCUUGAUGAUUGAUUUUUGGGACAUAUUUUCUAACAACUCCCACUUGUCCUAAAGCCACUCGACACAGUAUCUAAUACCCAUCUUUGAUUUGUGGUUGUCAAACUCCUUUAUUGCUAGGGCUUUAAUGAAGGGGUCGACUAGGUUCUCCUUUCUGUCGAUCUUCUGAAGAUCGACAUCACCUCGAUCGACGAUCUCCCAGACC
rnacentral:lncRNA from 1 species